rnacentral:rRNA from 1 species
UACGAAGGGUGCAAGCGUUGUUCGGAUUUAUUGGGCGUAAAGCGCGCGUAGGCGGACCUGCAAGUCAGAUGUGAAAUCUCGGGGCUCAACCUCGAAACUGCGUCUGAAACUACAGGUCUAGAAUCUUGGAGGGGGAAGGGGAAUUUCUCAUGUAGGGGUAAAAUCCGUAGAUAUGAGAAGGAACACCAGAGGCGAAGGCGCCUUCCUGGACAAGUAUUGACGUUGAGGCGCGAAAGCGUGGGGAUCAAACAGG